rnacentral:rRNA from 1 species
UACAGAGGGUGCAAGCGUUAAUCGGAAUUACUGGGCGUAAAGGGUGCGUAGGUGGUUUGAUAAGUUAGGUGUGAAAGCCCUGGGCUUAACCUGGGAACUGCGCCUAAUACUGUUGAACUAGAGUACUGUAGAGGAAGGUGGAAUUUCCGGUGUAGCGGUGAAAUGCGUUGAUAUCGGAAGGAACGCCGGUGGCGAAAGCGACGUGCUGGCCCUCUUCUGACGCUGAGGCGCGAAAGCCAGGGGAGCGAACGGG